UGGCCAAGAAGCUGGAGAAGCUGGAGAAGCGGACCCAGAGAGCCAUCGCAGAGCUGAUCCGUGAACGGCUGAAAGGCCAGGACGACAGCCUGGCCUCUGCAGUGGAUGCCACCAUUAGACAAGAGGCUUGUGACUCUGACUGAGAUGUUUUCCGUGUCCUCUCUGUUCAGCACACACAUCCUGUGGGAAGAUAGUCUCAGACAGGGAUGGGGUUAGGCUGGCCAGCACUUCUGGGUCUUGAGAACUGAGCCAGCCCACUGAGUCUCAGCUUCUGUUGGUUGUUACCAGUUCACCUCCCAAGGGUGUCCACCACCCCGAGUGGGUCAAAGCUGAGGUCUGUACAUAUGUAUGGGAAUGGAGCUUUGUAACUUCUGGAAAUAAACCUCCAUUUAGUCGAG